rnacentral:rRNA from 1 species
CCUACGGGGGGCUGCAGUGAGGAAUAUUGGUCAAUGGACGAGAGCCUGAACCAGCCAAGUAGCGUGAGGGAAGACGGUCCUAUGGAUUGUAAACCUCUUUUGUCGGGGAGUAAAAAGCGGUACGUGUACCGCAUCGAGAGUACCCGGAGAAAAAGCAUCGGCUAACUCCGUGCCAGCAGCCGCGGUAAUACGGAAGGUCCGGGCGUUAUCCGGAUUUAUUGGGUUUAAAGGGAGCGUAGGCCGCAUGUCAAGCGUGCUGUGAAAUGUUGCGGCUCAACCCGGGCCUUGCAGCGCGAACUGGCGGUCUUGAGUCCGCGGAAGGCAUGCGGAAUUCGUCGUGUAGCGGUGAAAUGCUUAGAUAUGACGAAGAACCCCGAUUGCGAAGGCAGCUUGCUGCAGCAGAACUGACGCUGAGGCUCGAAAGCGCGGGUAUCGAACAGGAUUAGAUACCCCAGUAGUC